rnacentral:rRNA from 1 species
AAUUGGUGGUGUAGGGGUAAAAUCCGUAGAUAUCACCAAGAAUACCCAUUGCGAAGGCGAUCUGCUGGAACUCAACUGACGCUAAGGCGCGAAAGCGUGGGGAGCAAACAGGAUUAGAUACCCUGGUAGUCCACGCCCUAAACGAUGUACACUAGUUGUUGGGGUGCUAGUCAUCUCAGUAAUGCAGCUAACGCAUUAAGUGUACCGCCUGGGGAGUACGGUCGCAAGAUUAAAACUCAAAGGAAUAGACGGGGACCCGCACAAGCGGUGGAGCAUGUGGUUUAAUUCGAAGAUACGCGAAGAACCUUACCUGGGCUUGAUAUCCUAAGAACUUUUUAGAGAUAAGAGGGUGCUAGCUUGCUAGAACUUAGAGACAGGUGCUGCACGGCUGUCGUCAGCUCGUGUCGUGAGAUGUUGGGUUAAGUCCCGCAACGAGCGCAACCCACGUAUUUAGUUGCUAACGGUUCGGCCGAGCACUCUAAAUAGACUGCCUUCGUAAGGAGGAGGAAGGUGUGGACGACGUCAAGUCAUCAUGGCCCUUAUGCCCAGGGCGACACACGUGCUACAAUGGCAUAUACAAUGAGACGCAAUACCGCGAGGUGGAGCAAAUCUAUAAAAUAUGUCCCAGUUCGGAUUGUUCUCUGCAACUCGAGAGCAUGAAGCCGGAAUCGCUAGUAAUCGUAGAUCAGCCAUGCUACGGUGAAUACGUUCCCGGGUCUUGUACUCACCGCCCGUCACACCAUGGGAGUUGAUUUCACUCGAAGCCGGAAUACUAAACUAGUUACCGUCCACAGUGGAAUCAGCGACUGGGGUGAAGUCGUAACAAGGUAACCGUAGGAGAACCUGCGGUUGGAUCACCUCCUUU